CACUGGGUCUGCAGGCACCUCUGAAUUCAAAGCGCAUUUGACUCGUCUCCGCGCAGCCCCGGACGUCGCUCUGCAGGAUUUAACAAAUAUAACCUACGGAAAUCCAGCAGCCACCGUGCAUCAAAUAUACAGCUGUAGCCUAUAUUCCCUGGAACCAGCCAGCGGCAAACACUUUAUAACCAGAGAGCGACUGACCGGCUUGCUUUUCGCCAAACAUGGGGCGCCGAGAGAGAAACCCACUGGAGGAAGAGAGGAGAUAGAUUAAUUGAUAGAUAGAGAGGAUAGAAAGGGAAGGGGGGGGGGACGCGUCGAUUGGCCGCGGAACCCGGAGCAGCACCACAACAAUAUCUGACCUCGACCUCCUCGGACGGUGGGAAACUGAUUGUUGAAAUGGAGAUGUCGAGAUUUUGUAUCAUCCCGUCUCCUCCUCCAACACACAUGCUGCUGAGGCUGAUGAUAUUUGCGUAGGAGUGUGUUAUUUUGCGCGCAGCAUUGGUAAAGCAGUCUCUACUGUUCAAACAACUCCAGACAAGCGGUGGAUGGGUUAAUUUGGACUCAAGUCGAGCUCCAUCUCUACUUCGAUAGCUGGCACUUUUUUUUCUUUUUUGCUAUUGGUCUCAUUAUUCAGUGACUGAGGUCGAAACAAAAUACAACCAGCAGAGGUCGAUACCUGAGGUCCAAGGAGCCACCACUACCUUAGAUGUGACCCUGAGAAUUUCUCUUAUCUCUGAAGUGAUGACUACAAGUCCCAUUUCCCCAACAGAAACUUAGAAGCCUACAGUACACGCCCCCUUUUGGUCCAGCCCUGUCACUACGCUGGUGAUCCCCAGUGGGUGAGCGACACGGAGACGUUGACUCUGUGGAACGACGACGCUGUAAGCACCGAUUGGAGGGGUUCCCACAAGACCCUGAAAAGGGCUGUGCCAGCACCCGACAUGCUGUCAGCCUCCUACAGAGAUGAACUUUAGAGCAGAGCAGACAUAGCUGCAGAGAAACUGCAGGUCAGAUGCUGAGAAGCGAAAGUUUCUCAGACUUAAUUUUUGUAAAGACUGUAAAAAGCGAAAGUUUCUCAGACUUAAUUUUUGUAAAGACUGUAAAACAAUGGGUGUUUUAAUACCUGUACAGAUGUCAAUCCAUCUUUUAGACUUUUAUUUUCUUUUAUUCAGACAUUUUUAAUGUGAUGAGUAUAUACUGUUUGUAUGGCUGAUGUCAACAGCAUUUUUGUUUCAAUGUAUGAUUGUGAUGAUUUAUCAUAUAUGGUCUCUACUUUUGAUAAACAUACUUAAAAAAUAAACAAGUAAUUUUGGGAAAUAUUUGUGUUAAAUCAAUGCAGCAUGUUGAGAUGUUGGCAGUGUAGUCUAACUUUGGUUCACCUGAUUUUCAGCAUUCGUCCAGUUUUUUGAGUGCUGCUACUUUUUGGAGGGAAACUAGCUACUUUCCUGUGCUACAUUUUGUGUUAAAAGAUGACUCCAGACGCGUAGCAGAAGUCUGUAAAAGCCAUAUUAAAACACAGCCUUUAAUAACCUUUCUGUAGCAUCACUGGGAUGCUUAAUGUUUUGACACUUUGUCAGCAAAGGGUUGCAAUGCAAGUAACUGAUGUUUUAAUUCUGAUGUCCCUCAUGGAUUUAAAUUACGACGAUCAAGUUAUUACUCUAAACUUAUAUUACAUUCGUCAGUCUUCAUAAGCAUUUAUGAUGAUCUGAUUUCAUGUAUUUGUUUUCUAUCUGUGAUUAGGAGUGUUGCUUUUCCUUCAUAUGUCCUAAUUUAUGUGUUGACUCUUCCUUGAUGUGGUUGAUGGAUGAGUUACAAGACAUGAUGUAAAGCAAGCAAUCAAAGUGCAAUGGCUUUUCUGCCAAAGUCUGUCUCUCUCUCCCUCUCUCUCUCUCUCUCUCUCUCUCUCUCUCUCUCUUUCUCUUUUUUGUUGACUCAAAAAUUGACAAUUGGAAACACAACAAGGGGUGACUCCUUUUGCAUAGUAAUUGCUUCUUUCAUAAACUUUCAUAAUAAUGACAAUCAGAAUAAUC